UGAAGUCAGAUGACAAGGCGUCUAUAGCAUCAUCUGGCCCUAUGGGUUUCGAAGAGUCUGCAGGAGGCCCUGUGAUCCCUUCCUUUUUAGCCAAUAGUUCCCUAUAUUUUGGAGGAAUUGUGACUUCUCUUUUACCCAAUUCCUCUAUGUAGGUGGAACUCAUUGGAUCUGAAACUUCUGGUCCAGUAUACGUUGUAUUUUCUUCUUCAGUUUCUUCAGGUCCUCCUAAAG
rnacentral:misc_RNA from 1 species